UACGGAGGGUGCAAGCGUUAAUCGGAAUUACUGGGCGUAAAGCGUGCGCAGGCGGUUUGUUAAGUCUGUUGUGAAAUCCCCGAGCUCAACUUGGGAAUUGCAAUGGAUACUGGUGUGACUAGAGUCCGGUAGGGGAGUGUGGAACUCCUGGUGUAGCGGUGAAAUGCGCAGAUAUCAGGAAGAACACCAGCGGCGAAGGCGGCACUCUGGGCCGGUACUGACGCUGAGGAGCGAAAGCGUGGGUAGCAAACAGG
rnacentral:rRNA from 1 species